rnacentral:rRNA from 1 species
GAUGAACGCUGGCGGCGUGCCUAAUACAUGCAAGUCGAGCGAACGGACGAGAAGCUUGCUUCUCUGAUGUUAGCGGCGGACGGGUGAGUAACACGUGGAUAACCUACCUAUAAGACUGGGAUAACUUCGGGAAACCGGAGCUAAUACCGGAUAAUAUUUUGAACCGCAUGGUUCAAAAGUGAAUGACGGUCUUGCUGUCACUUAUAGAUGGUUCCGCGCUGCAUUAGCUAGUUGGUAAGGUAACGGCUCACCAAGGCAACGAUGCAUAGCCGACCGGAGAGGGUGAUCGGCCACACUGGAACUGAGACACGGUCCAGACUCCUACGGGAGGCAGCAGUGGGGAAUCUUGGACAAUGGGCGAAAGCCUGAUCCAGCCAUGCCGCGUGGGUGAAGAAGGCCUUCGGGUUGUAAAGCCCUUUUGUUGGGAAAGAAAAUAAGUAGAUUAAUACGCCGAUGUUUUGACGGUACCUAAAAAAAAAGCCCCGGCUAACUUCGUG